rnacentral:rRNA from 1 species
ACAAUGGACGAAAGUCUGAUGCAGCGACACCGCGUGAGGGAUGACAGCCUUAGGGUUGUAAACCUCUUUUAUUAGGGAAUAGCAAGGAAGGUACCUAAUGAAUAAGCUACGGCUAACUACGUGCCAGCAGCCGCGGUAAUACGUAGGUAGCGAACGUUGUCCGGAAUCACUGGGCGUAAAGGGUCCGUAGGCGGUUUAACAAGUCUCAUAUGAAAGCUUCAAGCUCAACUUGGAGAUGUUGUGAGAUACUGUUAGACUUGAGGCUGUUAGAGGCAAGUGGAAUUCCAGGUGUAGUGGUGAAAUGCGUAGAUAUCUGGAGGAACACCAGUGGCGAAAGCGACUUGCUGGAACAGUUCUGACGCUAAGGGACGAAAGCGUGGGGAGCAAACCGGAUUAGAUACCCGGGUAGUCCACGCCGUAAACGAUGAUUGCUAGGUUUUCGAGGCAUCGACCCCUCGUGAGCCGAAGUUAACGCGUUAAGCAAUCCGCCUGAGUAGUACGGCCGCAAGGCUAAAACUCAAAGAAAUUGACGGGGGACCGCACAAGCAGCGGAGCGUGUGGUUUAAUUCGAUGGUAAGCGAAGAACCUUACCUGGGUUUGACAUGUAAGUAGUACUGAACCGAAAGGGGAAGGACCCGCAAGGGAGCUUACACAGGUGUUGCAUGGUUGUCGUCAGCUCGUGCCGUGAGGUGUUGGGUUAAGUCCCGCAACGAGCGCAACCCUCUUCGUUAGUUACACUCUCUAACGAUACUGCCCCUAAAAGGGAGGAAGGUGGGGACGACGUCAAAUCAUCAUGGCUCUUACACCCAGGGCUACACACACGCUACAAUGGCAA